rnacentral:tRNA from 1 species
GCCUAGGUGGUGAAAUUGGUAGACGCAGGGGACUCAAAAUCCCCCGCCGCAAGGCGUGCCGGUUCGAUUCCGGCCCUGGGCACCA